AUGUGGAAUGAGGAUUCCUGUUACCGCCCCAGUCUGAUGCUGUAUGACUGACUGGUACCUCUCUGACCACAA